CUGCAGGGAUGACCUUCUUAGGACACCUUUGGAUCAAAGAUGAAAAGACUGAAUGGAUCUGAGCAGC
ensembl:snoRNA SNORD58 Small nucleolar RNA SNORD58